rnacentral:sRNA from 1 species
AAGACUAUACUUUCAGGGAUCAUUUCUAUAGUUCGUUACUAGAGAAGUUUCUCUGGUCGUGUAGAGUACCUAUCAAGUAAAAGAGAAGGCCUCUCAAGUUAGUCAGA